UGCAAGUCGAACGAUGAUGAUCAAAGCUUGCUUUGGUUUGAUUAGUGGCGAACGGGUGAGUAACACGUGAGUAACCUGCCCCUCACUUCGGGAUAACCAUUGGAAACGGUGGCUAAUACUGGAUAUGACACAUGGCUGCAUGGUCUGUGUGUGGAAAGAUUUUUUGGUGAGGGAUGGGCUCGCGGCCUAUCAGCUUGUUGGUGGGGUGAUGGCCUACCAAGGCUUUGACGGGUAGCCGGCCUGAGAGGGCGACCGGCCACACUGGGACUGAGACACGGCCCAGACUCCUACGGGAGGCAGCAGUGGGGAAUAUUGCACAAUGGGGGAAACCCUGAUGCAGCGACGCCGCGUGGGGGAUGAAGGCCUUCGGGUUGUAAACCCCUUUCAGUAGGGAACAAGGCCAUGAUUUUUGUUGUGGUUGAGGGUACUUGCAGAAGAAGCGCCGGCUAACUACGUGCCAGCAGCCGCGGUAAUACGUAGGGCGCAAGCGUUGUCCGGAAUUAUUGGGCGUAAAGAGCUCGUAGGCGGUUUGUCGCGUCUGCCGUGAAAACCCGAUGCUUAACGUCGGGCUUGCGGUGGGUACGGGCAGGCUAGAGUGCGGUAGGGGUGACUGGAAUUCCUGGUGUAGCGGUGGAAUGCGCAGAUAUCAGGAGGAACACCGAUGGCGAAGGCAGGUCACUGGGCCGUUACUGACGCUGAGGAGCGAAAGCAUGGGGAGCGAACAGGAUUAGAUACCCUGGUAGUCCAUGCCGUAAACGUUGGGCACUAGGUGUGGGGAUUGUUCCACGAUUCCUGUACCGUAGCUAACGCAUUAAGUGCCCCGCCUGGGGAGUACGGCCGCAAGGCUAAAACUCAAA
rnacentral:rRNA from 1 species